AAUUCUGUAUUCUACUUUCCAAUGUCACAGGAACAUUCUGUUAUUAGUUAGUUACUAUUUUAUAAUUUGAGUUUUUAGCCAUUUAGCUCCAUUCACCUCCAUUCAUACAGUACUCACUCGUGGCUCCCCCUAGCGGGUGGGAUAAAACAGGGAGACAGGAAGUGAGCAGGUCUCCAUAAACCAGCUCUGUUUGGCUACGUGUUUGCAGGAUUGUCCAAUCACACGUCGGGUAAUGGCUGCACGAUUUGGCGACUCAGCCAAUCGCAUACCAGGCGUUUUCAGUUUAAAAAUCUACCGCAAACCGUUCCAGUAUCGCAUACAGCGCGAGAGAGUCUGACUGCAGUCAGUGACUGUCCUUCCAGAUCACUGAUUUAUCUGUGCAGCUCACCGGACUCACAGAAGAGUUUCCCCAGCAUUCAGUCCCGGAGGAGCAGCUAACAAACAAAACUGUUAAAACUGCGCAAAUAGCAAGAGGACUGCACAGUGAAGCAAAUUGCAGAAAAUAUGAUCUGGAACAUGGAAUAUGCUCACCUUACAAUGAGAGAGUGACCUCCUAUUUAGUGAAAUCUAUUCUGGGGAGCCUACAUUUGCAGAGACCAACUUUGAAAUACUUUGAGCUACUACCUCCAGCUACAGCAGUAAAGAGUUCAAGCGCCAGAAAAGAAAGGGUAUCCAAACAGAAUCCUUUAUGAUGAGUACAAGUAUUGCCACAAGUCCUUUGGAUGCACCAUGAGGGCCUGUUCACUCUGUGCUCUAUAAGUUCCUUGGGUAGAUGAAGAGGAGGAAGAAGAAGAAAGUGACCUCUGCACAACACCAACUGAACCCCAGUCCUCCACCUAUGAUCCAGCGCAGUCAAUAAGCAGUGUAAUAAAAUCAUAACAGAUUGCCUGAUGAUACAGCUACACAUGGAUACAAAGACUCUAAAUGCAUAGAAGAACCUCAUGGAACUUUUUUUAAAACUUGUCCUGUCUGCAGCCAGGUAUCAAAUUUCAAAAGUCAAAAAGGCCACUCUGCCAAGUACGGAACUUACAGUGUGAUGAAUCUGAAGACCAACAGCAUCAUCAACAUUCAACGAAUACAG